ensembl:lncRNA
CUGUAAUCUGUUCCACAGUGCACUGCUCUUCUAGUGCUCCGUGGCUAGAGGUUUUAUUUUUAGGCAGCAAAUGUCAUUUAUUCAUGUUCAAGUCCUGCAGGGAAAAUGAGAGACUCUAUUUGCUCAGCUGGAGGGGCACGGGUGGGCUGUGCUGCUCCUGUGUAGACCAGCCAUGGAGUAACAGAGCACUGAAGAACCUCUCUUAGCUUUGUACCACAGCUAUAGUUUUGAUCGUGUGCAUAAAUAUUCUGCAGAGUGUUUGCCUUAAUUUAGACAUUUUGAUUGAUACUUUGAACUGACAAAGAACAGAUCAAUGCAAAUCAGGACAAAAGCUUGUGGGACUACUUAAGGAGAAUAUCCUUGAAGGUAACGGAGAUUACAGGUAAAUACUUCAAAGGAAUUAAGGCAUUAUCCUCAAAGAAGCUGACAAGACCAGCUGCCCAGCUGAACUGCCUUUAUGCCAACAUAUGCAGCUUGGGAAACAAACAGGAAGAGUUGGAAACCACUGUGCCACUGGAAAACCAUGAUGUAGUUGUCACCACUGAGACCUGGAUGCUUCAAAAUAAUCUUACAAAAUAAUAUCUCGCUGUGGGUGCAGAAGUAAGGAACUGAUACCUUGCAACUGUCAAGCUGUUACUUCAUUCUCAUUUUUUUUCGAGUCUUGCUUUUGAGGAGUGAUUUUUGAGAUCUCUGCGGUCUUGGGCGCCACUUUGGUCUGUGACCCGCUGAUGUGCUUGGGAUGUUAUUUUCAGACGUCUUUCAGUUGCAUUUUAACCUUGGAAUUUACAGUGCUCCAUAAUUUAAUGUAUCCUAUGUUGACUGGAUUGAUAGAGACUGUAAAAUAGAUGUGACCUGGAAAAUGAGUCAUUUCUGGCAUGAGCACAAAGGCUGAGUUACUGGGAUCAUUCACAGUGACAUAGAGGUCCUGUUGGACAAAGGGCUACAGAUGGCUGAGCAGAAGUCCUGAAAACAACUGUCUCCAUCAUCUUGGCUGCCCAGAAUCGCUACAGGUAGCACUGCUGCACAUAGAGUUGUAUGAGUGCCCCAGAUGAGCAGUCCUUUAAGAAUGAAAAACCAAAACCACACCAGAGAUCCAGGUAAGCCUAACUUCACUGCCACUGAAAGCAUGGCACAAACAGUUUUAUACUUGAGAGCGAUUUAAUUUUAGGAAGGGGAUGUGAAUUCAGUUUAUAAAACAGGUUGUAAUUAAGGCUUUGUAAUACUUCUGCUUGUGUGAUUGUAAGCAUACAUAUAUUGGUCACAAUGUUUAAUUAAAUAAGCAAAAAAUAUUUGUUUUUCUGACCUAAAAUUUGGAUUACUUCUUUGAGAGCUCUGGCUUGCAUUCUGUGGUCCAGCUGAUUUCACUGGAGGACUUAGUACAAUAAGGGAUGAAAAAUUUGCCUAACAUUAUCUUCCCAAAGAAGAGACAAGUUCCUCAGCUUUCAUAGCGUUGUCCUUCCAUAUGCAUUCUGUCUCUUGCAUUCUAAUACCUGAAAGCUGCCUGCAAAGCACCCAAGCAGAUGAUACAGAUGCUAUAGGGGAUAUUGCGCUCUGAGUUUUAUCAUGUCCUUUUGUAAG